AUUGAACGCUGGCGGCAGGCCUAACACAUGCAAGUCGAGCGGAUGAAGGGAGCUUGCUCCUGGAUUCAGCGGCGGACGGGUGAGUAAUGCCUAGGAAUCUGCCUGGUAGUGGGGGAUAACGUCCGGAAACGGGCGCUAAUACCGCAUACGUCCUGAGGGAGAAAGUGGGGGAUCUUCGGACCUCACGCUAUCAGAUGAGCCUAGGCCGGAUUAGCUAGUUGGUGGGGUAAAGGCCUACCAAGGCGACGAUCCGUAACUGGUCUGGGAGGAUGAUCAGUCACACUGGAACUGAGACACGGUCCAGACUCCUACGGGAGGCAGCAGUGGGGAAUAUUGGACAAUGGGCGAAAGCCUGAUCCAGCCAUGCCGCGUGUGUGAAGAAGGUCUUCGGAUUGUAAAGCACUUUAAGUUGGGAGGAAGGGCAGUAAGUUAAUACCUUGCUGUUUUGACGUUACCAACAGAAUAAGCACCGGCUAACUUCGUG
rnacentral:rRNA from 1 species